UGGGGCGUCGUCCAGAGGUAGGACUCGGGGCUUUGGACCCCGCAACGGAGGUUCGAUCCCUCCCGCCCCAGCCA
rnacentral:tRNA from 1 species